GCCGCUCCAGUGGUAGGAGGGGGUGGGAGCCUGCGCUUGGCGCUACAGUUGCUCUCUAAAAUUAGGAUUUGGUCAACCGGUAGCGGCGCUAUGGUGACGAUGACGGUUAUGCGGAUCAAGAACAAUGUUUCCUCAACUCCGCUUCCACCUCGUCGGCAGCGACUUCGCAGGUGGAGUUGAGUAGUGUGAGGUGUUUGGUCACUGCUCUUUUGGAGGAGUGGUUCUAAUUUUGUCUUCCAUGUUUUGCAGGCAGUCCACGGAUUUCGGUUUGUUAGUUCCUUUUCCGAUCGGCGUGGCUCGGACAGUUCCGACUUCGUCACAGAGUUAGUGAGGCUAUCUCAGAUCACUGUCGCGCGCCGUGUCUUGUCACUUUGACCUGUGACUUCUCAGCUGCUAUGCCAACAACGUUUUUCUGGUUCUGAAGUGGUUCAUAUAGGGGUACACAGUCAGCGCACCAUCGGUGAGUGCAGAAAGAAGACGGCGAUGUUUACACCCACAAGUGCUAGCGUGUAAUUUUAUUUUAUUUUUUACUCUAAAGAUGGUUCUUGUAACGAUUGGUUGAUUAAUAUACGGCCUUGCUCUUCCCGCGGGGAAAAGAAAAAAAGAAGAAGCCAUGGAACAACAGAUCCACAACAUUGGUUUCCCCAAAAGUUGCCGGCAAUCAAACUAAACCCGUACGUCAUCAGCCCCAAACAGAG
rnacentral:lncRNA from 1 species